UGGCUCAGGAUGAACGCUAGCUACAGGCUUAACACAUGCAAGUCGAGGGGUAGCAGGGUAGCAAUACCGCUGACGACCGGCGCACGGGUGAGUAACACGUAUCCAACCUUCCCAUAACUCAGGGAUAGCCUUUCGAAAGAAAGAUUAAUACCUGAUAGUACUUUUUCAAGGCAUCUUGAGAAAGUUAAAGAUUUAUUGGUUAUGGAUGGGGAUGCGUUCCAUUAGAUAGUUGGUGAGGUAACGGCUCACCAAGUCUUCGAUGGAUAGGGGUUCUGAGAGGAAGGUCCCCCACAUUGGUACUGAGACACGGACCAAACUCCUACGGGAGGCAGCAGUGAGGAAUAUUGGUCAAUGGGCGAGAGCCUGAACCAGCCAAGUAGCGUGAAGGAAUGAAGGUCCUAUGGAUUGUAAACUUCUUUUAUAGUAGAAUAAAGUGAUCCACGUGUGGAUUUUUGUAUGUAUACUAUAAAGAAUAAGGAUCGGCUAACUCCGUGCCAGCCGCCGC
rnacentral:rRNA from 1 species